UUCAAAUAACGGUGAUGUCAUUUAUACACGUUGUUUAAUUUUUUUUUUCUAAAUAGGCGAUUGAAUAACUUCUUGAUUUUGUCGAGUAAACAGAAUAAAUAAAAUUCUGCUGAGAUAUUCACUUGAUAUUAGAAAAAAGUUAUAGUGUUCUUUUAUCUUUUAGGAGAGGACUGCAAGGCAGAUGUUGAACCUGUUCCUGCUCAAAAUAGUCCCCCUGUUAACACAUUUUCUGUCUCUAACGGAAACGAGACUUGUGUUGUAUUUAAGGGAAGCAUCCAGUUCUAUAUUCCUUAUAUGUCUAAAACUGGCGUUUCCACAGAAGUUAUUUCUCUGCCAGCUAACUAUAGUAUAGAUGGUGAUUGCAAUGUAAAUGUUAUUGGAGUUUCUUCUCAGCAAUUGACCAUUAGUUUUUACGAAACCUGGAUACUGAACAUCAGUACUUUUCAUCUAACGGAAAGGAAAAUACAGAUUUAUUAAGAUCAGAGGAGGGUGUGAAUAAGUACUAUAUCUCACGGAUUUACUUGAAAUAUGUCUACAAUAGCAUUCUUUUUCAAGACGCAGACGAUAUCAUUCUUGAUAAAGAAAUGAAAGUUUCGACUGACAUCCUAAGAAAACUCACAACAGACAAAAAUAAGAGCUAUAAAUGUAAAGAAGCAACAACAUUUUAUUUCGACAAUGGAUUAUCAAUGGUUACCAAAGACCUCCAGUAUCAAGCAUUCAAAACAGGAGAAUCAACAGAUUUCGGUGCGGCUGUCAAUUGUGAAAAGAAGGAAGAAAACAGACAUUUUAUACUCUACGUAUCUUUAGGAGCAACAGUAGGAGGAUGUCUGGUUGUUGUAGUGUUGAUUAUUGUACACGUCAUCAACAAAUACCGAAAAUAUGAAACAUUAACUCUUUAAACAUGAAUAAAAAUAAUCAGGAAUAAUAUAGCUAAAAUAUUGUAAUUUAGAUAGCUGCUUUUCAUAAUUCUUUGGCAAAUAAUAAUACACCAUAAAAUAUACUUUAUAAAAAGUAUUCAUUCUGCCGUCAACAAUG